CAUCACCAUGGAAUGAUGCACUUGGGAAGUUUCAGCCUCCCCACCAAUUCCCCAGGCAUCAGUAAGGAAAACCUCUGUGUGCCCUGCCAGGAGAGCAGAGGGCCUGCCUCCCAGACUUACACAGCUGAAGAGCUCUGUGGUCAGCCCCAGGUAGUUGUGCAAGGCCAGGAAUGUCACCCUCUGCAGCCUCACCAUGAUGAUCUGCAAGCAGGGAACAAAGAAGCAACAGCCAUGGAUUCAGCAUUCUCCCACACUCAUUCUGGCAUUUAGACACAAUCAUGCACCAGGGUACCUGAAAGCAUUCUAUAAAAUACAGACUGUACCCUAAGCUGAAA